rnacentral:rRNA from 1 species
CCUACGGGAGGCAGCAGUGGGGAAUUUUCCGCAAUGGGCGCAAGCCUGACGGAGCAAGACCGCGUGAGGGAGGAAGGCUCUUGGGUUGUAAACCUCUUUUAUCAGGGAAGAAGAUCUGACGGUACCUGAUGAAUCAGCAUCGGCUAACUCCGUGCCAGCAGCCGCGGUAAUACGGAGGAUGCAAGCGUUAUCCGGAUUUAUUGGGCGUAAAGCGUCCGCAGGUGGUUAUUCAAGUCUGCUGUUAAAGCGCGAGGCUUAACUUCGUACAGGCAGUGGAAACUGGAUGACUGGAGUAUGGUAGGGGUAGCGGGAAUUCCCAGUGUAGCGGUGAAAUGCGUAGAUAUUGGGAAGAACACCAGCGGCGAAAGCGCGCUACUGGGCCAUUACUGACACUCAUGGACGAAAGCUAGGGGAGCGAAAGGGAUUAGAUACCCCUGUAGUCCUAGCUGUAAACGAUGGGUACUAGGUGUUGACCGUAUCGACCCGGUCAGUGCCGUAGCUAACGCGUUAAGUACCCGCCUGGGGAGUAUGCACGCAAGUGUGAAACUCAAAUGAAUGACGG